AAUGACUACCAUAUAACAAUGAAUACACCUCAUCCCGUCCGAUUUGAGAAGUUAAUCAUCGCUAGCCACAUUAUGAAUUGAGGUUGGAGACAAAUUGGGAACUUGUGGUGUUGUCGUCU
rnacentral:rRNA from 1 species